rnacentral:tRNA from 1 species
GGGUAGGUACCGAAGCGGUCAAACGGGCCAGACUGUAAAUCUGGUGGCAUUAGCCUUCGCAGGUUCGAAUCCUGCCCUGCCCA